GGGCGGCUACAGAUGCUAAUCGAUGGAUGACGGGAGCUUGCUCCUUAUCAGCGGCGGACGGGUGAGUAUGCCUAGGAAUCUGCCUGGUAGUGGGGGACAACGUUUCGAAAGGAACGCUAAUACCGCAUACGUCCUACGGGAGAAAGCAGGGGACCUUCGGGCCUUGCGCUAUCAGAUGAGCCUAGGUCGGAUUAGCUAGUUGGUGAGGUAAUGGCUCACCAAGGCGACGAUCCGUAACUGGUCUGAGAGGAUGAUCAGUCACACUGGAACUGAGACACGGUCCAGACUCCUACGGGAGGCAGCAGUGGGGAAUAUUGGACAAUGGGCGAAAGCCUGAUCCAGCCAUGCCGCGUGUGUGAAGAAGGUCUUCGGAUUGUAAAGCACUUUAAGUUGGGAGGAAGGGCAGUAAG
rnacentral:rRNA from 1 species